rnacentral:rRNA from 1 species
GACGAACGCUGGCGGCGCGCUUAACACAUGCAAGUCGAACGGAAAGGCCUGCUUUCCCUUGUGGAUUGCGGGUACGCGAGUGGCGAACGGGUGAGUAACACGUGAGUGGUCUGCCCCCAACUUGGGAAGAAGCCUGGGAAACUGGGUCGAAUACCCGAUAGGACUGCAGGGUGGUGUCGGUGGUGGAAAACGUGCUGCUAGUGGUUGGGGAUGAGCUCGCGGCCUAUCUGCUUGGUGGGGGGGUAAUGGCCUACGAAGGCGGCGACGGGUAGCCGGCCGGGGAGCGUGCACAGCGGCACUGGGACUGGGAUACGGCCCCGACGCCUGCGGGCGGCAGCAGUUGGGACGAAUGGGGCGUGGGCCGAACCCUGCUGCAGCGCCGCCGCGUGGGGGAUGACGGCCUUCGGGUUGUCUGCUCCUUUCGACCGCGAGGAAGCCACCUGGCUGGAAGGGUGGUGACGGUAGUGGUACAAGAAGCACCGGCUAACUACGUG